rnacentral:tRNA from 20 species
GCCUCUGUAGCUCAAUGGAAGAGCAGUUCCGUCCUAAGGAAAGGGUUGGGGGUUCGAGUCCCUCCAGGGGCACCU